rnacentral:tRNA from 1 species
GCCGACGUAGCUCAAUGGCAGAGCAGCUGAUUCGUAAUCAGCAGGUUGUAGGUUCAAAUCCUAUCGUCGGCUCCA